rnacentral:lncRNA from 1 species
UGGGGAACCACGACGGACACGCUCGGACUGACGAAGGGAUGUCACGCACAGGACCGCCGUUGUGCUCGCACAGAGGAGUGGAGACCAGCGCUGUCCCGUUCCUGUGAUUUUAGAGACUGGUGAACUGAGGGACGUGACCUAGCAUCCAGUAUAGACCAAGACAGAAAGCAUCAGUGCCACCCUGCCUGGUCAGGAAGACCUGCGGCUGCUCCAAGUAUUGGGAUGCUUCUACCUCGAGGCUCGGCAGCAGCGGGUGAGGACGUGCAAGGAAGGGUCCACACGCCUGGUAUUCUUCUGGAGAAUUCAGAACCCUCACCCAGCUGCACAGAGGGAGCUCAGCCUUUCUUCCAGCCCUGCCUUCCCCUUCCGCCUCUGCCUCUGCUUUCUGGACGGGCUCCUGCUGGCCAGUGCAUGGGACGUGCGGGGGACCAGCCAAGGGAGAGCGUCUCUCCGCCCACCAGCGCCCUGAGCGCACUGUCCGGCUCUCGGGUGUCCUGGCAGAAGCCUGGCGGUGGAAUGCAGGUCAUCAGCUCAGAGCCUCCCUGCAGUGUGACCAGCGUUCCCACCGAGCGAUUUAACCAAUGCAAGAGGAGAGAAGGAGGAAAUGUCCGGGAAGAGCUCUGGAGGCUCGUGCACCUUCGACCCAGAGCAGUCGCUCACCGGCUAAGUGUGCCUUUGGGGGAAAUGACUAUCUUUCUGUAGAGAGGAAGCCGUGGGCUGAGUGACCUUGGAGGUCUUCCAUACCCAUGGUGACCCGAGUCAGGAAGAAACACAGAAGCAGCAAACUGCCAUCCGAGGGCCACGUCUGGCUCCCGGCUCAUCUUUGUAAAUAAAGUUUUAUUGGAAUACA